rnacentral:lncRNA from 1 species
AAUUAAAUUAUGCUUAUGGGAUUCGCCAAUCCUAUCAUAAUUAUUGAGAAAAUAUUUUUUUGUCAAAAAAAUUUAAUUGACUGAAUAGAAAUAAUGCGUUAUAAUUGCUAUAUAAUAGAUUUUUUUCAUGCCUAAACUAUAUAAAAUUUUUCUGUCAAAAUCUGAUUUUUUACUCUCCCUCGUCAUUUAAAAAUCUACACUUUGCCUCUUGUAAAAUGAAAAAUGUUCAUUUCAUCCCCUACCGUUAGUAAUCCGUUAGAGUUUCGUUUAUAAAUUAUUAUUAUAUAUUUUUAAUGCCAAAAAUAUUUUCAGCGUUCUCUCCUGUGAACAUGAUGAGGGGCAAAAUGGUGAGUGACAAAAUGGUCAUUUUAUCAUCACAGUUCAUACCGUAUCUUUCUGUAAAUAUUUUUAAUUUUAUAAAAAGAAAAAGUGUAGUUUUUUAAAUGAUAGGGGGAGAAAGUAAAAAAUCGGAUUUUGACUGAAAAAUUUUAUAUGAUUUAG